CUUGAACGAGCCCAGCCACAACGGCCGAUCGGCUCCGGCGCGCUCCUUGCCGUAGGUGGCCAGCAGCGCCUGUGCCUC
rfam:Streptomyces autolyticus strain CGMCC0516 plasmid unnamed2, complete sequence.